ACAACCAGGAGAGAGUGCUUUUCUGAAAACCUCAAGAGAAGACAGUAUCAGGGAGAUGAGGGUGAUCAACAAUGACAAAGACUGAAGAGAGAUCAAAAACAGAAAAGCAACAUGAAAAUCACAGAAUAUCUGUAUGUGCUCUGAAUUUGGUACAACUCCUUUAUUACAUCAUCACAAAAUUCCAGAAGGAAGCUCGGGAAACUUUGCCUUCUUCCUACCUCCCAAGUAUCAAGCACUAUAAAGCUAAGAAUCUAGAGGAAGAGAUUAUCUCGGAUGCUUCAGAUCAGAGGUCUCAUUCUUUGAAGCAAAUCUGAUUCCUUGAAUAAAUGGUUAAUGGCUGGG
rnacentral:lncRNA from 1 species